rnacentral:lncRNA from 1 species
CGGCGGGUCGCGCCAGCGCAGGCCUCGCACGCCCGGCGCCGCCGGAACGGCGGGAUGCGAGCGGCGCUGCUGCUGCUGCGGCGGUGGUGGUGGUGCCGUGCCCGCGCCGUGCCCGCGCUGCAGCUUGCACUGCGGCCCGUGGUGCAACGCGUGCGCGCCGCUGCACGCUCGCUGCUGCACGGCUCAAGGGAUGCACAGGCGCACGGCGGCGCGCACGCGUUUGCACACGCGCCGGUGGGGUCGCCUGGCGGGGGCACAGGACGCCUGGAUCCACCCGGGGGGGUGACAGCGGGGACCGUCCCUCCCUGGAGCCCAUGCACGCUCACGCACGCUCACAUGCAGCAGUGCAGACUCGUGCAUGCUCACACGCACUCGUGCACGCUCACACACGCUUGUGCACGCUCACACACACUCGUGCACGCUCACACACACUCGUGCACACUCAUGCACACUCAUGUGUGCUCACAGGUGCUCACACACACACACACUUACUACGCUGCAGCCCCCUUCCAGGGCCCCCCGGACGACAGACCCCCCCCCCCAAGUCCCCCAAACGCCCCGUGGGGGACAGGAGGGACAGGGGGGGACGGGGAUUCCCUGCCCCCUCCCCCCCCUUGCCCCAGGCAGGGCCUGGGCUGAGCCCGGGCAGCUCGUGACACCCGUGGCCGGCGGUGCCCUGCGGCUUCCUGCCGGGCCGGUUAUUUUGGGCAGGCGGGAGAAGCCCGGCCAGACGGAAAAGCUGACGGCGCCACGGGCAGGGGGAGGCGCCGGCGCCCCCGGCACGGCAGGGACCCAGGCGUCCGGGAGGGACGGGGCCACCGCGGGCCCUGUCCCCGCUGCCUGUGCUGUCCCCGUGCCGGGGUGUCCCGGGCAAAGCCCCGUGCGAGGCCUGGUGCAGGUUGUCCCCGCAGCGGGGGGGUGUCCGGGGGGGGGACACGCUGCCCCCCCCUUUCCCAUGACGUCCUGGGGUUGGCGGGACCCCCGGUUUCCCAGGAUGCUCCGGGACUUGGCGCGACUCCCGGUUUCCCGGGAUGCUCUGGGAGCGCUCGGGGGGCUUGGCGCGACUCCCGGUUUCCCAAGCUGCUCCGGGGUUUGGCGCGAGGCCCCGGUUCCCGGGAUGCUCCGGGAGCGCUCGGGGGCGUUGGCGCGACUCCCGCCAGUCCCGCCGCGCUCCGGAGGGGGGGGGGGUGACACCCCCCCGCCCGGGAAGUGCAUGACGGCGGGGAGGCCUCGCACGUGCGUGUGCGAGGGGACCCCCGGGGGCCGACGCGGCGCCCCAGCGUGUCACCGCGCCGGGAACAGCCGGCAGCCCUCGCACGGGGGCCCUCGUGCAACCCUCGCACGGAGACACCCCCCCCGUGCAAC